rnacentral:rRNA from 1 species
GAUUAUGGCUCAGGAUGAACGCUAGCGAUAGGCCUAACACAUGCAAGUCGAGGGGCAGCACAUGAGUAGCAAUACGAUGGUGGCGACCGGCGCACGGGUGAGUAACACGUAUGCAACCUACCUUUAACAGGGGAAUAACCCGUUGAAAAACGGACUAAUACUCCAUAACACAGGGGUCCCGCAUGGGAAUAUUUGUUAAAGAUUAAUCGGUUGAAGAUGGGCAUGCGUUCCAUUAGCUUGUUGGUGAGGUAACGGCUCACCAAGGCCACGAUGGAUAGGGGAACUGAGAGGUUUAUCCCCCACACUGGAACUGAGACACGGUCCAGACUCCUACGGGAGGCAGCAGUGGGGAAUAUUGGUCAAUGGAGGCAACUCUGAACCAGCCAAGUCGCCGUGAAGGAUGAAGGUCUUAUGGAUUGUAAACUUCUUUUGCAAGGGAAUAAAGUGGGGGACGUGUCCUCCUUUGCAUGUACCUUGCGAAUAAGGAUCGGCUAACUCCGUGCCAGCAGCGGC